GUCAUGCAUAUGCCAUGCAAAAAGCCAAGGCGCCCCGCGGAGUGUGUGUCACCCCGGGACAACGGACACAAGAGGAAACAAAAAAAAAAAAAAUGUGGUGAGAUCGUGAGCAGCAGAGAACCCGGCGAGGGCGUGACACACUCCACGUGCUACAUGUGGCAGAUUAAUGAGGACACAUCGGGAUAAUUAACACACACUAACGAGGCAGAGGGCCAAACAGUUGUUUCAGUGACAUUCAUGAGUCAUUACACCUUUAAAGAUUUUAAAUCUUACAAACAGGGAGACAAUGAUUAAGACUUAUCAAAGAUUUGGGGACUUUGUGAGGUAGUAGUCAACAGGUGCGAACACAUCAGUGGAGGACAUCGUCUAUCUGUGACGGUUUUAGUGUAAAAUCAGUUUCAAGUCUUUAUUGAAGCAUCGCUGUGAGUUCAAACUGUUACUGAUGCCAACAGUGAGAUUCCACUUUAAUUUUUCUGCUUUUAUCCACAUGAAAAUACUUGAACAAAGGUUGUUAUGAUACCCACAGAGUAUUUCAUUUGCUGCCUGGUGUUCAUGAAGGCGGUGCGGCUGUCCACCUCCAUGCUUGAUCUGGUGUUACUUACUUACUUAAUAAACCUUCCACAUUUGUUUUUAUGAGCUGCAAACAGACGCCGCGUUAAACUGAAGGAUGUAACGAGUACAGAUACUCAGCCCUGAAUUAGCAUGGGAUGGUCACUGCACAUCAUGAGGAUAUAAUCAACAAUUAAAAGA